rnacentral:tRNA from 1 species
GCAAAAGAAGCUAAAGUUAUAAGCGUUGGUCUUGUAAGCCAAAGAUUGGAGACACACUCCCUUUUGCU